rnacentral:rRNA from 1 species
AGACGAAGGAUGCAAGCGUUAUCCGGAUUCAUUGGGUUUAAAGGGAGCGUAGGUGGACUUGUAAGUCAGUGGUGAAAUCUCUCAGCUUAACUGAGAAACUGCCAUUGAUACUGCAGGUCUUGAGUACAGAUGAUGUGGGCGGAAUAUGACAUGUAGUGGUGAAAUACUUAGAUAUGUCAUAGAACACCGAUUGCGAAGGCAGCUCACAAAACUGUAACUGACACUGAGGCUCGAAAGUGCGGGGAUCAAACAGGAUUAGAUACCCUGGUAGUCCGCACCGUAAACGAUGAUAACUCGUUGUUAGCGAUAUGACAGUUAGCGACCAAGCGAAAGCGAUAAGUUAUCCACCUGGGGAGUACGCCGGCAACGGUGAA